UUUCGAACCAAGUUAGAUCAGUGCAAACGAGAUGGAAAACCAAAGUAUAUAUGUCGAUAUGGAUCAAGAGGUCGUUGAAGAACAGAUCACUGAAUUUCAAUGUCCACAUUGUGAGAAACGAUUCAAGCAUAAAAGAGGGCUAGUGCGCCAUCAAAACAGCAUGCACCUAAAUGAGAGACGACUGUGAAUACUGUGGCAGAACUUUUAGUGAAAAAUACGACCUCAAGAGGCACGAGAAAGUCUGUCCUGGCGGAUCAUCCAAAAGAAAAUCCGACGAUGAAAACGAUUCAUCAGCAAAAAAGCAGAAACUCAUGAAUAUGAGUUAGCGAACAUUCCCCCCGAAAUGUAUGAAGAAUAUGACGGGCCGAUCCUGGGAGAUGAUGAUGAGAAUGAUGAACAGCACGGUGGAGGACCUGUCGAUCAGGAGUGUGCUUUGAACAAUAGCGCCACCAAAUUCAAGUAUAACCCCAAUAAGAGAGAAAAAUACGACCUGUUAUUAACCUUGGGAGGCAAAAAGAAAACGAUUAUGAAACAACUUCAAAAACAAUUAAAGAAACACCGUGGAAUCAAAUGGUUCCUGAGCGUUCAAGUAAAAAUGAUGAAGUCCAGUC
rnacentral:lncRNA from 1 species